GCUGGGAGUGGUAGCACACACCUGUAGUCCCAGCUACUUGGGAGGAUGAAGUGGGAGGAUUAAUUGAGCCCAGGAGUUCAAGAUAAAUAAGCCUGGGCAACAUACCAAUAUCCCAUCUCAA
rnacentral:sRNA from 1 species